GGGUGUAUAGCUCAGUUGGUGGAGCAUUGGGCUUUUAACCCAAUGGUCGCAGGUUCGAGUCCUGCUAUACCCA
rnacentral:tRNA from 1 species